rnacentral:lncRNA from 1 species
AUGUACAUGAUUACUGCCGCUAGGGGGAGCUGUGACGUCAAUGGCGUGCAUUAGUGAGAUUGAGGUCUUGGAGAUUUCUUCUUCAAUCUUGGAGAAUGACUACUUCUGAAAACUAAUGUUUCUCCGUCUCAUAAUUUUACCCUAUUAAUUCAGCAGCGUCCAGGCCUCUAGAGUACUCACCCUAUCGCCUGCUGUACUAAUGGGCCCUGCAGCUGUUUACGGAGGUAAACAAUGCAAUUGUAUAUAAAAUGAUUGCCUAUACUGUAGCAUAUACAAUUUGUGAUUGACUUAGUGUUUUUCUAUUGCUAUUUUUGUAUAACGUACUUUGAGAUCACUGAUAAUCCACCUGAUGUGGUGGAAGUUGUCGAACCAGAUCAGAAUGCCUUCAAGGACCACCUUCAGGCACGGACUGAGAAGGAUGUGAAGGUUUUUGACCAGGUGAGACUGAACACGGACAAGGCGCAGGAGAAACAGAAGGAGGAGAAUCAAUUCACCGGAGGAGAAUCAAGUGGACCAAGUGCUUCGACAUCCGGGCGAAUGACUUGGCUUGGAAGAAGGACGAAAGGAAGGCAAGACCUGGGAAAGCUUGGUGCUCUUUCGCUCCUAGCUGGGGUCACCAUCUGUUAAGGGAACAUACCUUACCUCCCUUAUCAACCCCACUGACAUAAAACAUCUGACAAGCUAAGAAAGAGCAAGAAAACUAUCAUACUGGGUACAUAAUGUGAGCUGCACAGAUUAGCUAAAAACACUAGCCCUGAAAAUACUCAGAACAAAGAGGGCAGCAGCGCCUGGACUUUGCAGUUUCCCUCUUCAGGUCCACCUUCCAAGACUACCUGUUGAAAACAAGUGACAGGCAGAACCUCUCAUCCACACAGCACCCGCCUCCUCUCUGUUCUACACUACAGAAUUCAGUAUUUUAGUCUGAUUGCCAUGUGAGUGUACAAAAAAUCAGAAAGUAAAUUGACACACUUGUACCCCCAAAAAUAUCAACGUUUAUGUAUUAAAUCUAAAAUAUUGCCAGAUUGGUUUUCACAGCUGUUUUAUAAGGUGUUCAGUAUUGUAAAUUGUAACGUAUCCCUUGAUGGUAUUUGUUAGUUAAACAUUAUUAAUUGUUGUAUCAAAUGCAAUAGAUAUAUAUUCAACCACAAGGGUGUACUAAUGAGCUAUGAGUGUUAAAAAAUCAUAAUAAAGGACUACUACUGAAAUAUUAUUUCAGUGUAGAUAAGGAAAGGCCUGUUCAAAAUGAAAACAUGCCAGCCAGACAAGCCAGUGUAUGAAUCAAAUGUAUUUACAUAUGGAGUGAAAAUUAGCUGACUUUUAUCUGUAAGGUAAGUAACCGUGGGGGGAGAGGGGCAUUGAAAUUAUAAUUUUUUUACCCUGAUACCUGUUUAUUAAUAAAAAAAAUGGUAAAUAACAUUUGCAAUGGUUAGCCUAUGCAAAUGAAUAGGAAAACAAAAGCUUAUUAAUAGGAAUACAUUUAGCCCAAUUGGUAACAUAUAGGGAUUACCGACUUUCUAAGUUGUUUUGAAUGCGCCACUAGAGACCUAGAUGACCUCUUAUUUCUGAAUAGGGAUACCUCCAACAAAGAAGCCCUUGUGUCUGUAUUGAUGUGAGAAUAAGCAUGUCUACAGAGUAAUUGUGGCUGGCUGAGAUAUCAACUAGCUUAAUCAUUUUUGUAUUGAGGUGAUAGGCCUAUUUUAGCUAAUUCAACAAAUGAAAUUGAUUACAUGUAGACGUUUGUAUGGUGUUCAUGGUGAGAUCUUUAAUAAUAAACUAAACAGACACAAACUAACACGUGACGCAUAACACAUGUAGACGUUAAGGAGUUAAUUGUAAGAUUGUUCAUAAUAAACUUCACUACGUGAACACGUCACGUGCCACGUCUAGACGCCUUAGAAAGAAACUUGUCUCCAUUGACAGUCCAUGUUAAUUCAUGGCGCUAAAAAUACGUUAGGUGACUGUGAGACGUAUCAGUAGCUUCACGAGGCUUAAUUAUGGCCCUUAUCACCCCCCAUACGUGUGUGUUUCUUUCACUGUCCAAUCCGAGGCUCGAACAUGAUCCGAGCAUGUGAUCUGAGGCUGUUUGGACUCUUGCGCAUCAACUUGAGAAAGCAUCAAGGUUGAGUGGACAGUGCAUUAUGAACAAAGUGCCGCAUAUAUUUGCGUGGUGUGUUGAAAAGAUGGGCCAUCCGUUAAACAGCAAUUCAACUUUGAACGACCUUAGUAAUGUUUGUAUGAAUAAAAAAUUAAAAAAAGUUUGGAGAGCCAAUUAUUUAAUGGAUUGAACUUGAAUGACAAUUUUCAGAAUGAAUCAAACCAAUAGUUUUUUCCCCCUCAUCAAUCUACACACAAUGCCCCAACAUUUUAGAAAUGUUUGCAAAUAUCACAUUUAAAUAAGUAUUCAGACACUUUACUCAGUACUUUGUUGAAGCACCUUUGGCAGCGAUUACAGCC